GAGCGGCGUACGGGUGCGUAACACGUGUGCAACCUGCCUUUAUCUGGGAGAUACCCCUCCGAAAGGGGGAUUAAUAUUCCAUAAUAUCUCGUUGGGCAUCCAACGAGAUUGAAAGCUCCGGCGGAUAGAGAUGGGCACGCGCAAGAUUAGAUAGUUGGUGAGGUAACGGCUCACCAAGUCUGCGAUCUUUAUGGGGCCUGAGAGGGUGAUCCCCCACACUGGUACUGAGACACGGACCACACUCCUACGGGAGGCAGCAGUGAGGAAUAUUGGACAAUGGGUGCAAGCCUGAUCCAGCCGUCCCGCGUGAAGGAUUAAGGUCCUAUGGAUUGUAAACUUCUUUUAUACAGGGAUAAACCUCUCCUCGUGAGGAGAGCUGAAGGUACUGUAUGAAUAAGCACCGGCUAACUCCGUGCC
rnacentral:rRNA from 1 species